rnacentral:lncRNA from 1 species
CAAGUGUAACCCUUUUGUAAGGGUUACAGAGGACAGCUACAGAUUUCUAUGCUGAAUUACAAAACUCUACAGAUCUAGGAUAUGCUAAUGGAAAUCUUGUACAUGGAUCAAACCAAAAGGAGUCAGUAUUUAUGAGACUUAAUAAUCGUAUUAAAGCCUUAGAAGUUAACAUGUCUCUUAGUGGUCGCUAUCUGGAGGAGCUUAGCCAAAGGUACCGAAAACAGAUGGAAGAAAUGCAGAAGGCUUUGGAGAUGUUGAGAG